AAGACCAAAGACAUAAGAGGUGCGAGAGUGGUGCUCCACGUGUUAGGAGAUGAUAAAAGGAGGCAUGGCUUUUCAAGGAAAUGUGAAGAGCAAAACUAAUCUCCUGCUUCAGGAAGAAAACGGGAACAGAAGGACGGCCUAUUCCUUUAAUGAGAAAUAAAUCAGGGGAACAACAGUUGAACAGUCAUCUGAAAGAAGUAAGAGAAAGGACACUGAGAUCCUCACCUCCCCCAACAUAUUGGAUUUAAACGUGCAAUCAGAUUCAACUUCAGUUGAAAAAUGUGGGUUAUUGAACCCUCAUAAGGAGCCUAUUUAAGUUGGAAAGUAAGAGAAGUUGCUGCAGAGUGACAGCUACAUGUGACAGGGAAAAAAAGAGAACAGGCUUACGGAGACUGAUGCCCAGUGUUACUGUUCACUCACAUCCACAGCACAACAAUGAAGGGAAGAAAAGAGACUGAAAGGACACAGCUUGGAAGAAUCUGUUAAAUGCAUUAUAAAAUUCACUGCUUUAAGUCUCUUGUUUAAUUUAUUCGACUUUGUACUUUAUUCUUUCCAGGACCCUCUUUUCUCCAUUAACGAAUGCAUUGGAACAAUAACAACAAAAAUAAAACUUUGUUGUCUCCAGUAA